UUUCCGUAGGUGAACCUGCGGAAGGAUCAUUAUUGUAUAACCGAGGUGCGAGGGCUGUCGCUGACCCGAAAGGUCGUGCACGCUCGAGUGCCCUCACACACAUCCAUCUCACCCCUAUGUGCACCACCGCGUGGGUCCCCCUUUGGCUUGUUCGGAGGGGGGCUUACGUUUUCACACAAACUUUGUAUGCAGUGUAGAAUGUAUUUCCUGUUUUUGCGAUCACGCAAUCAAUACAACUUUCAACAACGGAUCUCUUGGCUCUC
rnacentral:misc_RNA from 1 species